CGGCGUCGAGCGGCGGACGGGUGAGUAAUGCCUAGGAAAUUGCCCUGAUGUGGGGGAUAACCAUUGGAAACGAUGGCUAAUACCGCAUGAUGCCUACGGGCCAAAGAGGGGGACCUUCGGGCCUCUCGCGUCAGGAUAUGCCUAGGUGGGAUUAGCUAGUUGGUGAGGUAAGGGCUCACCAAGGCGACGAUCCCUAGCUGGUCUGAGAGGAUGAUCAGCCACACUGGAACUGAGACACGGUCCAGACUCCUACGGGAGGCAGCAGUGGGGAAUAUUGCACAAUGGGCGCAAGCCUGAUGCAGCCAUGCCGCGUGUGUGAAGAAGGCCUUCGGGUUGUAAAGCACUUUCAGUCGUGAGGAAGGUAGUGUAGUUAAUAGCUGCAUUAUUUGACGUUAGCGACAGAAGAAGCACCGGCUAACUCCGUGCCAGCAGCCGCGGUAAUACGGAGGGUGCGAGCGUUAAUCGGAAUUACUGGGCGUAAAGCGCAUGCAGGUGGUUUGUUAAGUCAGAUGUGAAAGCCCGGGGCUCAACCUCGGAAUUGCAUUUGAAACUGGCAGACUAGAGUACUGUAGAGGGGGGUAGAAUUUCAGGUGUAGCGGUGAAAUGCGUAGAGAUCUGAAGGAAUACCGGUGGCGAAGGCGGCCCCCUGGACAGAUACUGACACUCAGAUGCGAAAGCGUGGGGAGCAAACAGGAUUAGAUACCCUGGUAGUCCACGCCGUAAACGAUGUCUACUUGGAGGUUGUGGCCUUGAGCCGUGGCUUUCGGAGCUAACGCGUUAAGUAGACCGCCUGGGGAGUACGGUCGCAAGAUUAAAACUCAAAUGAAUUGACGGGGGCCCGCACAAGCGGUGGAGCAUGUGGUUUAAUUCGAUGCAACGCGAAGAACCUUACCUACUCUUGACAUCCAG
rnacentral:rRNA from 1 species